GAGGCGGUGCCGUUUGGAUCGGGGCGGCGACAAUGCCCGGGAAUGGCACUGGCGCUCACCACUGUCCAUCUCACGCUCGCCAACCUCCUCCAUGGAUUCGAGUGGAGAGAGCCCAGCGGUGAGAGCAUCGACACGAGCAAGGAGCAGUAUGGAUUGACGCUGCUCUUGGCAAAGAAGCUGCGACUGAUCGCCACCCCACGGCUAGAACAAGGUACCUUAUAGCUCCGAUCCAAAGAAAGCUUGGAAGAAUAGCUUCCUUGAUAAACCAUGAAUAAGAAAGAAACCACGAACUUUGCACUAUCUCUCCAAACGGACACUGCCGGCCUCAUCAGGAGCCUCCUUGCGAAUGAGAUUUUUGCAUGGCAUGGACAUUUUUAUAACAAAUAUAAAGAUAAUUUGUAAGUAUUAAAUAUUCUGAAGAAAUUGUUGAAGACUUGGAAAAGAAUAGACUAAGAGUAGAUUGUUGGAUCUAAUUUGAUUUCCAAGUGUGAUUGAAGCUCUUGUUAAUGUUCAGCUUAUCAGCAGCUUGACAACAUCUACGUUAUUGCUUGCAACGUGCAUAGCUAAUAAAGGGGUUGGCAAAAUCUGCAUCCUUGUUCUUCCUUGCAGCCCGCAUAGAUUGGAGCAAGGGAUUGGACAAGUUGCACUCCGAUGACAAGAAGUCCAAAAGCUUAUCUUCAUCUUCGCUUAGAAGCGUUGUGGUGCUCUCCAACAACAGCUUCCAGCAGUGUCCACAUUCCUGAGCUCCACCCUGUGAAGCAGUAAAGCACAAGCCCCAAUAAAUUUGAUCCGUGCACCACAUUCUUGCACCAAGCUUCCCCCGACCAUAUGCUUGAGAAACAUCUCCAAGAAGCAGACAAGGCAGUCUGGCGGUACCUGGCCCCGUGCACACGCGUCGUGCAGCUCCUUGAAUCUAUCAGCAUCACUAGCCAAUUCAAAGGCAAUGUUUUUGAAGCCCCGCAGCGAGACAGUCAUAAACCAGGUGCCAAACUCUAAAACUGAUCUCCACUUGCUCUCAGAUACCAAGCUUCUCCAAUACUGGCACAUCCUCAUCUCUGCUUGUGUUGUGGCUUGCAACUGGCCGUAGUCUGAAAUGCUGGUGUACAGAUAACUCAGCUUCUUUUUACAUUCAGGUGUGCAUUGCCAUGCCUCCAACGCCAUCGUAAACUCUAUCAUCUCAGCUUGGGGGAAGAAAGCCUUGGGAGGGCGUAGCUCUGAGAGAGGCUUCACUUCCAUAUCUUGCCUGUUCAGCCGCCGCUCCAGCACGCUUCCCUUCUGCAAUCUAUUUCCUACCACCUUUCUAAUCUCAUGCUUGGAUAUCCCCUCCCAGGAACCAUACGCCAACACAUCCAGCGACUGUUGGAUUUGGAUGGAAUCCCCCUUGUUCUUCUUCAGUGCCUCCAAAGCUAUCGCAGCCAUCAUCAGAUCUGUGGAGCAUGUUCUAUUUUUAUAGCUUGGAUCGUUAAAAGGUACUUUGUUCCAGGCGAGGGGUGGAGAUCAAUCGCAGCUUGUUUGCCAUGAGCAACGUCAAUCCAUAUUGCUCGUUGCAUUCUCACCGCUGGGCUCUCUCCACUCGAAUCCAUGGAGGAGGUUGGCGAGCGUGAGAUGGACAGUGGUGAGUGCCAGUGCCAUUCCCGGGCAUUGUCGCCGCCCCGAUCCAAACGGCACUGCCUCGAAGUCCCUGCCCCGGAUGUCCAGAUCCGUGCCAAGGAAUCUCUCGGGCCGGAAGAGCAGCGCAUCGUCACCCCAGGCGGAAGAGUCUCUGGCGAUGGCAUAGGCGUUGAUGAGCACCGUCGAAGAAGAGGGGCAACAAAGGCGCCAGUCCCGGAAUCCAGCUCGGAUCAGGCGCAAGGUGUGGCGAUGGCGGGAGAGGAGGAGGAGGAGGCGGUGAGCAAGGUAGUGGAAUGGCCAGAGGAUGGAGGAUUGACGCGAGACCCUGGCGGAGGCGGCCUCCAUGCUGAGGACGCAAGCACUGCGCCAGGUAGUGCCAGUCGCGGUCGCCGAUUCACUCAUUGCCAGGGCUUCCAAGAUCAUGCAGAGACAGUCACAAACCAGGUGCCAAACUCUAAAACUGAUCUCCACUUGUUCUCAGAUACCAAGCUUCUCCAAUACUGGCACAUCCUCAUCUCUGCUUGUGUUGUGGCUUGCAACUGGCUGUAGUCUGAAAUGCUGGUGUAGAGAUAACUCAGCUUCUUUUUACACUCAGGUGUGCAUUGCCAUGCCUCCAACGCCGUCGUAAACUCUAUCAUCUCAGCUUGGGGGAAGAAAGCCUUGGGAGGGCGUAGCUCUGGGAGAGGUUUCACUUCCAUAUCUUGCCUGUUCAGCCGCCGCUCCAGCACGCUUCCCUUUUGCAAUCUAUUUCCUACCAACUUUCUAAUCUCAUGCUUGGAUAUCCCCUCCCAGGAACCAUACGCCAACACAUCCAGCGACUGUUGGAUUUGGAUGGAAUCCCCCUUGUUCUUCUUCAGUUCCUCCAAAGCUUUCGCAGCCAUCAUCAGAUCUGUGGAGCAUGUUCUAUUUUUAUAGCUUGGAUCGUUAAAAGGUACUUUGUUCCAGGCGAGGGGUGGAGAUCAAUCGCAGCUUGUUUGCCAUGAGCAACGUCAAUCCAUAUUGCUCGUUGCUCGUGUCGAUACUCUCACCGCUGGGCUCUCUCCACUCGAAUCCAUGGAGGAGGUUGGCGAGCGUGAGAUGGACAGUGGUGAGUGCCAGUGCCAUUCCCGGGCAUUGUCGCCGCCCCGAUCCAAACGGCACUGCCUCGAAGUCCCUGCCCCGGAUGUCCAGAUCCGUGCCAAGGAAUCUCUCGGGCCGGAAGAGCAGCGCAUCGUCACCCCAGGCGGAAGAGUCUCUGGCGAUGGCAUAGGCGUUGAUGAGCACCGUCGAAGAAGAGGGACAACAAAGGCGCCAGUCCCGGAAUCCAGCUCGGAUCAGGCGCAAGGAGUGGCGAUGGCGGCAGAGGAGGAGGUGGUGAGCAAGGUAGUGGAAUGGCCAGAGGAUGGAGGAUUGACGCGAGAAUGGGUAAUCGGCGUGGGCGAGACCCUGGCGGAGGCGGCCUCCAUGCUGAGGACGCAAGCACUGCGCCAGGUAGUGCCAGUCGCGGUCGCCGAUUCGCUCAUCGCCAGGGCUUCCAAGAUCAUGCACAAGGAGCCCAAUUGCUUGCGCCUGGAGCCGCCACGGUCGAGCUCCAGUAGCAUCGUCCUGGUGGGCGAUUUGCACGGCCAGCUCCAUGAUUUGCUCCAUCUCUUUGAUCUGGCCGGCCUCCCCGACGAGGAACGAAUGUUUGUGUUUAACGGGGACUAUGUGGAUCGAGGAGUGUGGGGAUUCGAGACUUACUUUCUCCUCCUUGCUUGGAAGGUAUGAUCUCAGAAUCACGUUUUCUUUUUUACUUCUUUCUGGUGGUAGUGAAAGGUGGUAUUGUUCUUACUUUUUUUCUUCAGGUAUUGCUACCUCACCGAGUUUUUCUUCUGCGAGGAAACCACGAGACAAAGUUCUGUACGAGCGUCUACGGCUUCGAGAAAGAGAUCUCCGUCAAGUUUGGGGAGCAUUCCAAGCAUUUCUACCGCAAGCUCUUGGGAUGCUUCGAGGGCCAUCCUCUGGUGGCGGUGAUAGCCGGCAAAGUUUUCAUGGCACACGGUGCCUUGUUCCGGAGCUUGGAACCGGGGCCUUCUACGCGAUCUUUCUUGGUGAGAGCUGCUGCUAAGCUCAAGCUGGGUGAUCUGGACGACCUUGCAAAGUCGAGAAGAGGCGUGCUGGAUCCGUCGGCCGUGGGAAACAACGUGAUACCGGGUGAUAUCUUGUGGUCCGACCCAUCUCCAAACCCGGGGCUUGCGAGCAACGAAGGGCUUGUUUUUGGACCGGAUUGUACUCAAGAGUUUAUGGACAAGCACAAGCUAAAGGUAAGGUGGUGUUUUGCGUCGUUUGCUCACGAUCAUUGGGAUUGUUCGGCAGUGCAGCUUAUAGUGAGAUCUCACGAGGGGCCGGAUGCGAGACAGAAGCGUCCUGAGAUGGCGAGCAUGGACAAAGGCUACACGAUCGACCACGUUGUCAAGGCUGGAAAGCUCAUCACUCUGUUCAGUGCUCCCGACUAUCCUCAGUUUCAGGUUGGCCUUCUUCAUUUCGUGUUUUCUUUCUUCGUAAAUGCAACAAAGUUUCGAUUGUCAACAAUGGCAGGCGACCGAAACUCGUUUUAACAACAAAGCAGCCUACAUUGUUUUGGAACCACCGGAUUUUUGCGAGCCCGACAUUUGUGUUUUUGAGGCGGUCCUCCCGCAGCCACAUGUAAGCAAUUUCAUUUUGAUACUUCCAUCCACCGCUUUGGUUGCUUUUCCGCAGGUUAUGCCAUAUUACGAUCAUGUUAAUGUUAUGGAUUCAGACGACGAGCUAGAUCUGCCAAAAGACGGAUAAAAAAAAUCUAGAAAAAUGCCACGACUGCCACCUUUGAGGUCCUCGUGGGCGUUGGUCGUAGGAGUCAAGAUCAUUCGUGACAAUAUAUUUCGGAGUGAGAGCUGCAAGAGAGCUGCGACAAGGAGAAAAUGGCGAGUGAUUUUGUUUUGGUUGUGGCGGCAGCACUAUCGAUCACUGCUGUGCUAUGGAAGCUAUGGAAGAGUAGAAUUAAAUCGUCUCUUCUUCCUCCAGGUCCCAUUGGGCUUCCACUGAUCGGCCAUCUCCACUUGCUCUUUGCAAAUCCUCCGCACACCGUGCUCCAGAGGCUGUCGGCUCGUCAUGGACCGAUCAUGUCGCUGCGAUUCGGGCAUGUGCCAGUGGUUGUCGCCUCCAGCCCAGCAGCCGCCAAGGAGUUCCUCAAGACCCACGACGCCGCCUUUGCGUCUCGCCCGCUGAGCGCCGCCGGGAGGAUCAUCGUCCACUACAACGCCGACAUCGUUUUCGCCCCUUAUGGCGACUCGUGGCGGCACUUGCGCAAGAUCGCGACGCUGGAACUCCUCACAGCUCGCCGGAUUGACAUGUUUCGGAGUGCGAGAAUGGAAGAAGUAAGAUCCAUGUGCCGAUCGCUACUAGUAGCAGAUGAUCGUGAGACGGGGAUUGUGGAUGUUCGUGGGCGAGUGACAGCGCUCACCUUCAAUCUCAUCACUUUCAUGCUCAUGGGCAAGAUCUCAUCACUUUCAUGCUCAUGGGCAAGCGUUAGUUUGGCAAGGACACUGAAAAUGAGGAGGGGGCGAAAAAUUUUUUGGAAGUGAUUGCGGGCACGUUUGAAGUAUGUGGAGAGUUUCCAAUCGAGGAUUACUUCCCGUGGCUCCCCAAGUUUUUGGAUCCGGCAGAACAUCGUAUGCAUUCCCUAGCUAAAUCCUUGCACGAGUUCCUCGGGGACAACAUCUCCGAGCACGAGAACAAGAGAAAGAACAACAAGAAGAAUAACACUGACGAGGAUUUCUUAGACAUCCUCCUCUCUCUGAGAGACAAUGGUGACAAGCAUCUACAAAACGAAAACAUCAGAAGUGUCAUGACAGUAAGAAGAAGAGUUUAUCAAUUCGAUCAAUCAGUCUCAUCACUUGCAAUCUUUUUCUUGGCAGAACUUGGUCACGGCCGGAACCGACACCUCAGCAGUGACGCUCGAGUGGGCGAUGGCCGAGUCAAUCAAAAACCCCACCAUCGCCGCCAAAGCCCGAGAAGAAAUCGAGCUAGUUCUCGGUGAGAAGUGGAGGACGAAGAUGGUGGAAGAGCCUGAUCUUUCACAGCUAACUUAUCUCCAAGCCAUCGUCAAGGAGACACUCCGGCUGCAUCCUGCGGGACCGCUGCUGGUCCCCCACCAAUCCACCGAGGCGGUUAGCAAUGUAAUGGGGUACCAUGUACCACGCGGCACGACGGUGCUCAUCAAUGCCUACGCCAUCGCCAGAGACUCUACCGCCUGGGGUGACGACGCGCUGCUCUUCCGGCCCGAGAGAUUCCUUGGCACGGAUCUGGACAUCCGGGGCAGGGACUUCGAGGCUGUCCCGUUUGGAUCGGGGCGGCGACAAUGCCCGGGAAUGGCACUGGCGCUCACCACUGUCCAUCUCACGCUUGCCAACCUCCUCCAUGGAUUCGAGUGGAGAGAGCCCAGCGGUGAGAGCAUCGACACGAGCAAGGAGCAGUAUGGAUUGACGCUGCUCUUGGCAAAGAAGCUGCGACUGAUCGCCACCCCACGGC
rnacentral:lncRNA from 1 species